GACAGAGGGUGCAAACGUUGUUCGGAAUUACUGGGCGUAAAGCGCGUGUAGGCGGUUUGUUAAGUCGGAUGUGAAAUCCCUGGGCUCAACCGAGGAAGUGCAUUCGAAACUAACUGGCUAGAAGAUGGUAGAGGAAGGUGGAAUUCCAAGUGUAGAGGUGAAAUUCGUAGAUAUUUGGAGGAAUACCGGUGGCGAAGGCGGCCUUCUGGACCAUUCUUGACGCUGAGACGCGAAAGCGUGGGUAGCAAACAGG
rnacentral:rRNA from 1 species